GUUGUAACAUCUGUGCCUAGAUGCAACGAAGACAUAACACUGGCCUGUAAUGUGUCGUCCAACUGCUGUACAGGUUCGUCUAGAAUAUGGGAGAAAGGAACAUUAAAUGAUAUUAAAUGACGGUAUGUCAAUAUCACCUAACAAGUAUAUAGAAGAUUGGGUUGGAGGCACUAGAGGCUUCAGUUUAAUUAUAAAAAAUCUACAAAUAUCAGAUGUCGGAAUUGAUUAUACUUGUCAGUACAGACUUUGCCAAGACAAACAUCCGUUAACUAAGGAUGUCACAUGGGAGUGUAAGUACAUUUUAUAGUUAUCAAUCAGUCUUUUUUGUUGUCGGAUGUACAAAAAAGCCGCCAUUUAAAUGUUUUAUAAGAUGAAUUCAUGAAUACAUAAAAUAAUAGAUACAAUAAAAACCCUUAAUGCUGUUAAACUUACGAAGUCUAUAAGGUUUUUGAGCUGAUAUUUGCAAACAUAUUUCCAGUUAACAGAAAAUACACAUUGGGUCAGUCAUCAUCCAUGAAGCAAAGUCCUCUGGAUUAUUUUUAAUUUCAGUUUCUUUUAAUUAUACUUAAAUCAUACCAGGUUACAUAAUUUCCUUUACCUUUUCAGCUUGUGUAGAGAAACGGGAAAACAUUACUGGAUAUAUUACCCCUAGUUACUUAAGGAUGCAGAUUAUAUACAAAGGGUUAAAUCAUGCUUUAAGGAUACUACGUUGGAAUAUCAUCUGUCAGGUGAUAUGGAAGAAUUUGUUUCAGAUAAGUUGUCUUGAAAUGAAUAAUCAUAUUAUGUAAAAUGCCGAAAGAUAAUAUCUCACCCAUCAAUUAAUUACAGCAUAACUUAUUCCAAGGAAAACAAAAAAAAUCACUCCGUUUGAAACCAAAAUGAAUGCAAGCUUAUAAGCUUCAAGCUUUAUAAUGACUUUUGUAAAAAUGAACGGAAGUGUAAUGAUGUCUCUAAAGCUGUAAGUUGUUAAGUUUAACGACAUAUAACUGUACGUUUCGGCAAUACAUUUUAUCAGCAGGCUUGUUACUGUACAAAUAUGGAUGACAAGAGUAUGACUGAUUAAAAUAAAGACUCAUCUAUGAUUAAAAUAAUAAAAAAUACACCAGUAUUGAAAACCUUCGCGUAGACUUUACAUAGAUAAAUAAAGUUGUAUAAGAUAAGUAAACUGAGUAUGUUAAAUUUGAUGUAUGCAUUUUGUGCUUCUUCGUUACAUUUUUUGUUUUUAAAGUGAUUAAGAUGAUAACACAAUGUUGACUGCUGUACACCUAUUUUUGACAUUUUUACUCUUUUGAGUUUGUUUGUUUUGUUCAUGCAUCGUUGACAAUGUAAUGGAAUUUGAUACGACUGUCAUACAAGUAAGAGGUUUGGCUAGCUAUAAACCAGGUUCAAUCCACCAUUUUCUACAUUAGAAAAUGCCUGUACCAAGUCAGGAAUAUGACAGUUGCUAUCCAUUCGUUUAAUGUGUUUUGAACUUUUGAUUUUGCCUUCUGAUUUUGAACUUUCCUUUUUGAAUUUUCCUAGGAGUUUAGUAUUUUUGUGUUUUUACUUCUUAUCGUUUAACUAAUGAUUUAUUUUCUGUUAAUGCAUAACACGUCUUUACACACUACCAUGAAAAGUUUGAUUGUUAAUUUAGUUUUAGAGAAAUGAGUCUUUUUAUAAGUUGUUAUUAAAUAGCAUUAAAUAUAAAUCUAUAAAUCUGUAAAUUGCCAUAAAGCGCACGAGUUGUAGAUAGCCAACACACAAGGUCCGACCCAACAUUUUGUUCUUGUACUGUACUGCAUUAAGGGAGUUCGCUUCUCAGUUUCAAAGUAAUUAACUUUUUUAAACACUAGUUUAUAUAGAAAGGGAAUCAAUAAAGGAAUCCAAAGAGCAAAAAAAAUGUAUAGGUCACCGUGCUUGUUUUCGAGAUAUUAGCCAUUGAAAUUUUGGCGGGAAAUAUUCUCUUCUUGAUUUUCAUAGCUUUCAUUGACAAGUAAAGUUCUCAAAACUUUAAAAGUAAUUAAUAUUUUUAUAGACUUUACAGAUGGCUUAUCAUUAUACAUGUAAAAGAUUUACAAAAAAAAAAUGGGAGUCACCGGGCGAAUGUUUUCAAGGCAUUCAAAUGGAUAAAACCAGAGGAUUGCGAAAAUCAGACAAAACAUCUAAAACAUGACAAGACAGCUUCCGUAAGUCAAAAAUAAAGCAUUUAUUAUCUAUUAUUUCGUUUCUAUGUAUGUAGUUAUGUUAUUUGCUUUUUGUUGCACUUCAGCGCUUUUUUCUACUUAUAUAUUCCGUGUAUUCCCUCGGUUUUAGUUUGUUACCCGAUUUUUUUCUCUCUCGUCGAUUUAUGACUUGAAAGAGCGAUAUACUACUGCUACAUUUAUAAAGAAAUUCUUAGUCGUCCGUUUUCGUUAAACUCUUUAAUGGAGGAUCUGUGUCCAUCACCUCUUUCAAGACCCUAGUGAUUUUUCUUCUCCUCAGUUUGUUUCAUGCUUUUAUGUAUGUUUAUGAAUUGACUCCAUUAAUAAAAUAAGAUAAGAUGGUGUGCUGUUUUUAAUCGUUUGGUCUUUUUUUUUUAACCUUUUUAGUUCUGAAGUUGUAAGUAUGUGUUCUGUUAUAAGUUUGGAUUUCCUUUUUAUAUCAUUCGCCUCUUUUUUAUUCCGGUGUUAUCAUAACAGACGUGGGUCUUUAUAAUGAUUUUAUACAAUUAUGGAACAAAGUUCAUAUACCCUUGACUUCACGUCAAUGCUUUUUUGACUAAUAAUGUUAAUUUUCAGGAAUAGGUCCUGUUCUAAGACAUAAAAAAAAGAAAACAAUAUUUGGUGCUUAUUCAAUGAUUGUGAUGUGAACAUGUCUGUUUGAUAUAAUUUAGUUGACCUUGACACGAUCUGCAUGUUUUAUUCGUCAACAUAGGGAUUGCAGACAACAGGUCAAAUAAAUUGCAAAAUAUAUAGAAUAGGAUUAAAGGAGUAGGGACAAUAAAAAAAAAGUUUUGUAAAAGUUUCCAUCUAUACAUUUUCAAUUUAUUUUCUUCUUAAUAGUAAAAAAUAAAGUUGUACAAUGAUUCGAAAUAAAAUUCAGUCUGUAAUGGUAAUAAUUUAACUUCACAUUUAUACCAAUAGGUUUUUCUUUACUUAUCUGUUAUAUAAUAGCUUAUUUGACAAACAAGAAAUGUAAAUAUAUUUACCAUUUAUUGACAAACAUUGUCUUUUUACAUUGACUAUACUUCUUGUUGAAUUCUCUGAUCUAAGACAUUGUAACCAAUCUUUUUGAAUACUUGUUUUAGAGAUGUCAACUCAGCUAUUCAGUUGGAUUCAUUUUCAAUGUUUUGCAAAAUUCCAUCUUGUUAAAUUUCACCAUUUUCAUUUACAAUAUCAUUUAUAUAAACAAGUUACCCUUUUAUCCAAUUUUUGAAAAAAGACAUUUGUUAUUAAAUUUAAUGUAUUUAUUUCCCCAAAUAAUUUGUUUUCUGAUUUCGUAAAAGGUUUUUAGUAUAUCUGUCUGUCCUCCUCCUAAUUUCAUCCAGUUUUUUAAUAAGUUUUUUUUAUAAAAUUUGCGAAUAUAAGGUAGAUAUUGAUAAUCCAUAUUCAUAUAACCUGCAAGGCAAUUUUUUUCCUGAGCAUUGUAAAAAGGUAUAAGUUGCCAUCUGGCUUUAUCUGUAUUUAAGAUUCUACCUAUCCAUGAUGUUUUUAGUGAUUCAAAGUGACUUUCAAUGUCAAUCAUAUUCAAACCACCGUUUUCAUAACUACCAAUCAUCGUAAUUCUUUUAAGGUGGUACCUAACACUUUCACUGAAAUAAUUUGGCUAGUUUAAUUUUCAUAAAAUUUUGACAAAGUAUUUACUUUGAUCCUUUAACAAAAAUAUAUGAAGAAUCAAACAUUUUGAACCAACCGUUUUGUCAGAAAAAUUACGCUGGUUAUAUAGCAGUUUGACAAACACCAAUUUUGAUAAUUGACUUAAUAUUCUCUUUACAACACAACGUAAUUAAAACGUUUUGCUGACUUUACAGAGUUAUCUCCCUGUAGUGUUAGGUACCACCUUAACACUAUCUGGUGUGUCAUUCCAGAUAAAUUAUAAUAAUUUCCUUUCUAUUUCUUUUUUUUAUAUUUUCUGUAAAAUCGCAUGUGCUAGCUAAAAAGGUAAAGAGUGGUAUAAUCGAAAAUUUGAUGAUCAAGACUUUCCAUAAAAUAGUGAGAUUUCGUUUUUUCCAAAGAAUAAAUAAUUUAUCCAUUUUAUCUAUUUUAUUUUAAAAUUUGAAUUUCUCUCAUUCUUCAUUGUUAUGUCCAAAAUAAAUCCCUAAAGCUUUUACAAGUUUAUCUGUCUAGUUAAUAUUUUCUAUUUUGUCUUUACUAUUAAAUAUCUUUGUCAGUCAAGUUUAAAUCAUUAUCCAUGCUCAGAUAUAAAAAAAUGUUUCUUUUCUGGUAUUAAACACAAUGUUCAGCUCAUUUUGCUAUUUUAAGGGGAUAGAGUAUUUGUAUAGAAAGAAUAAGUGCUCCUCCGUAAGGAGCCACGUCAGUCGAAAGGAAAAAAACACAACAAUCCUUGAAAAUUUAGAUUGGAGCCGAGAAAAACUUGCCAUGUCCACGUUUCGAGAUAUCAAACUCUGAGAAUAUUGUUGAUACCGGUAAAAAGACUAUGAAUACCAAACGAUCAGCUAGCCGAACGAAGCUUCAAAACAAGUGCUUAUGGGAGCAGACAAUCACACAUUUAUUUGAUUGUAUGUGUAAAUUAUCCAUCAGCUUCAAUUUUCAAAAUAUGUCUGAGUCGUUAUACUUAAAAUGCAUUGUCUUUAUAGUAAUACAUUAUAACGUAGAGCUUAAUCGAUCAAAUAUACUCGUUUAGAAACUAAAUGUAUGUUUUUUUUUGUUUGUUUCAGAUCUGCCAACGAAAACUGAUCAAUGAAAGCAAAGAAUAGUACAAAAUGUUACGAUAUAUCGAUUU
rnacentral:lncRNA from 1 species